AGUUACCAAAGAGGAGAGGGAGGAGAAGAAAUCCUGAGGUGAAAUUAAAUUAGACACCGGCAUUUAAUCAUUCUGCUUGUACCUCUAAAUAUAUGACAUAAUUCACCAAAGGAUUUUCCUUUCAUUGAAGAGAUUAAACUGCUAAGGGAUGGUUUUCCUAAGUGCUUUCUAUGGAGCACACCCAUGGAUAGCAAUAAGAAGUGAAGCGGAGCAGAGAUGUCCCACGGUUCGAGCAGGAGAACCUGGCUUGGCAACGCUUCAACUCCGCUUUUGUCUCCUGGGACCUGUUCUGCUGUCUCUUCCUGAUGGAUUUCCAUCCUAGAAUAAACAGACAUUCAGUCGAAAGCCA